GCCAUCUUGCCCGAGCGGUCUAAGGGGGUCGAUUCAAGCUCGACUAUGUUCGCAUGCGCCGGUUCAAAUCCGGCAGAUGGCA
rnacentral:tRNA from 1 species